UAGCGCUUCUCCUUGAUCGACGAUGUAAUGGGCAUUGGCCUUCACUUCGAAUUGGGGAAAGUAUCUUCUUAGCUUCUAGAUCUAUCAAGCAUUCAGGCAUGCUAUCUACGAUAGAGAAUCCAGAAAACAGGAUUGAUUAGCGAAAAUGACAGGGAUACAAUUCUACAAGGUCUAGAUGAGAUAGAAAGGCAGAUUGAAGCAUGCAAGUUCUUGUGGAGGACUGACAGAGAGGAUGUGCACAUGAACAUUGAAGCAGCUCUUACUGAUUUAGUGGGUGAAUCUGCAAAGCAGCUCUUCUUACACAUUAUCCUACAAUUAGUUUGGAUAUGCUGUCACGUGUUCAUUCUCGGAGCUCUAUGUACAACAAUGAUGCCUUGAUUGCUAAGAGGUGCCAUUUAUAUAUGCUAAUAUAUCUAUUCUGAAUCUUAGCUACUUUAACACUUCAUAUACAGUUUUAUGCAUGACAAAUUAUUGACUUUAAGAUAUGCUUUAGGCACUGCUUUUAUCAGAUUG